GGGCCCGUAGCUCAAUGGUCAGAGCAGCGGACUCAUAAUCCGUGGGUUGCAGGUUCGAGUCCUGCCGGGCCCACCC
rnacentral:tRNA from 1 species